rnacentral:tRNA from 1 species
GCCGCUGUGAUGGAAUGGCAGACGUGGUGGAUUCAAAAUCCUCUGGUAGUGAUACCGUGCCGGUUCGAGUCCGGCUAGCGGCACCA